UCACGCCUUUAUGGGAGGGUUAUAAAAAAGGAUCAUAUAAAGAGAGCAUCUCAAUCUGAAGGAAAAUAAAGACAUCCUUAUCCUCUCAGGACAGUUUCAACUCAGACAUCCCUGGUUCUGUGGCCAGGACAAUGAGGACAAUGAGAGCUAAUCUCUGUUUAACUGCACUUUGCUUUAUGGGUACAGUACUCCUGUGCCAUGCACAGUCCAGUUUACCCACUACCACCUUUCCAACUAAAACCCCCACAACCACAACUACAAAACCUCCUACAACCGCGACUGCACAACCUCCUACAACAACAACCUC